CGUAGCCGACCUGAGAGGGUGAUCGGCCACACUGGGACUGAGACACGGCCCAGACUCCUACGGGAGGCAGCAGUAGGGAAUCUUCCGCAAUGGACGCAAGUCUGACGGAGCAACGCCGCGUGAGUGAUGAAGGUAACCUGCAUCUUCACAGGUAUUAAAAUUUCACCGGAUCUCUCGUUGAGACAGCGCCCAAGUCGUUACGCCAUUCGUGCGGGUCAGAAUUUACCUGACGUAACUGCCCUUAAGGUGACGGUACCUGAGAAGAAAGCCCCGGCUAACUACGUGCCAGCAGCCGCGGUAAUACGUAGGGGGCAAGCGUUGUCCGGAAUUAUUGGGCGUAAAGCGCGCGCAGGCGGUGAUUUAAGUUUGGUGUUUAAUCC
rnacentral:rRNA from 1 species